rnacentral:rRNA from 1 species
AGUGAACGCUGGCGGUAGGCCUAACACAUGCAAGUCGAACGGCAGCACAGUAAGAGCUUGCUCUUACGGGUGGCGAGUGGCGGACGGGUGAGGAAUACAUCGGAAUCUACUUUUUCGUGGGGGAUAACGUAGGGAAGCUUACGCUAAUACCGCAUACGACCUACGGGUGAAAGCAGGGGAUCUUCGGACCUUGCGCUAUUGAAUGAGCCGAUGUCGGAUUAGCUAGUUGGCGGGGUAAAGGCCCACCAAGGCGACGAUCCGUAGCUGGUCUGAGAGGAUGAUCAGCCACACUGGAACUGAGACACGGUCCAGACUCCUACGGGAGGCAGCAGUGGGGAAUAUUGGACAAUGGGCGCAAGCCUGAUCCAGCCAUACCGCGUGGGUGAAGAAGGCCUUCGGGUUGUAAAGCCCUUUUGUUGGGAAAGAAAAGCAGCAGGUUAAUACCCCGCUGUUCUGACGGUACCCAAAGAAUAAGCACCGGCUAACUUCGUG